rnacentral:lncRNA from 1 species
AGAAGCGAAUGAGGAUUGGCCAACAGUUAUGUGAGUGAACUUGGAAGCAGAUUCCCCAGCAGGAUCUAGAAGUGUUUGUAGAGACAGCUAACACCUUAAUUGCCACCAGUGAGAUACCCUGAGCAUGAGGCGCCCAUAGAAUCUAUGAGAUCAUCGAAAUAGAAUAAAUAUAGAGCUUUGUUGUUUUAAGCCAAUAAGUUUUGGGAUAAUUUGUUAUGCAGCAAUAGAUUUUGAAUAUACUACUUCUAUGUGCCUUUCUUGGCAUUGAUUAGAACUAAAAUCCUUAAAAAUGAAUGAUUCUGUGUUCCUUUUGUAGAUGAUACUGAAUGGUGUAAGGCAGAUAGGUUAGGAGGACAACUCAGUACACUACCAAGAACAGUGUCACAUAAGAGCAUCCAGAAAUCACUGGAUACAAAUGGCUUUUAAUUUAAAUGUAAUGGAAUUGCAUUGCAUUAAAAUUAAAUCCAUUAGAAUAAAAAGGAAUGAAAGAAAAUGAAAUAGGAGAAAACAGGAUAGAAUAUAUCUACUUGUUUUGGAAGUAAUCAGAGUAAGUAUCAGUUGUGUGUAUUUGUGUGUCUGUUUUAGAGAUCCUAAGAACUUGUACACAUGCAGUGAUUUGCUGGAAGGACUCUCAGUGCUCAGAAGCAGUUGUGCUCACAGCUAUAUUUUAUUAACAGGGGAACAGAUGGAUUAAGCCGAAUGUGGCGGAAUCCAGGCACAGAUUUCCUAUGUUCCCAACCACCCCCACUUCUGCUACAUGCACAGAGAAGGGUCACACAGAAGGCAGUCCUUAAUUCAGCAGCAAAAUGCAAAAACCUGUGUACAGCCCAGGAAAGACUGCUUGACACUCAGCCCAAAGUUCUUAUAGGGGACUGCUCUUAUAGAAGCAACAACGAAACACACGUUGAAAUGCCAAGUUUCAAGAAGGAAAGCAAGUGUUCAGCCAAUCCGAUUGGGUAAAACAGCCAGGUGCCCAGCUGCCAGCCAGGGGCCAACCCCACAAAGGGCUCUGUUGAAGGUAGCUACUUCAGACUUGCUGUGUUAACUCUUUGCUGUGCAGUGUAUAUACGUGUACUUAUUUUUAAGUGGAAGCCUUUUUUGUCAUAUCAAAUCUAAAGUGAAAAGACCUUAGUAAUUCUCAGUCUUUAAGGACCAUUCCAUUAUUACAGCUGAGCUUUUUUCCUAAUUUCUUAUUCUGAACUUAAACAUUAAUAAUACUUUUAUAAGGGGAUAUGUUAGAUUUUUACACCUAUUACAAUCAUGAAUAUUCAUUUUUACCUGCCCUGCUAACUCAGUGCUCUGUGGCAAUAGGCGUUAGACUCAUAUCUACUCAACACUCUGUUAGAACAGAUAAUGUAGUUAUAGUUGCUUUCCCUUUGAGCAGGUUUUGGCAAACUGUGGCUUGUGAGCUAAAUUUGUAUUACUGACUGCUUUUGCAAAUAAAGUUUAUUGGAACACAGCCACACACACUUGCUUAAAUAUUGUCAAUGGCUAUUUUUGCAAUAUUACCAGAGUUGAGUAGUGACUUCAUGGCUAGCAAACCAAAAACAUUUACUGCCUGUUUCUUUACAGAGAAAGUUUCCUAAGCUCUGUAUUAAGAAACAAGAGUGGCCCUCACAAAUAUUGAAUAAAUUACUCAACACCCUUGGAGAAUAAAGAGAGUGAUAAAGGAAAUAGACAUGACAGUGAUAAUAAACUUUUAUUUCAAUAUUAUUACUUAUUUCUCCUCAUGGAUGAUACUUGUCAAGCAACUGUGAUUAUAAGAAUACUAUUGUUUCUCUCAAAGCUUCUACAGAAAAUAUGAAUGAUGAUCUUGAAUAGUAUUGACUUGACUCCUCUAAACUUAAAGUCCCAUUAUCAGCAACCUUUAUACUUUGGUCAGAAGAAAUAGACAUAAAGAGAUAAUAAGUAAAAAUCUGUUUAGAAUUGUUUUCUCAGAAAUUCUGUUAAUCCAAAUGUCAGAAAAGUAUUUGGCAGACAAUUCCAGAUGUAGUAGAAAAUAAUGAUUUUAUGGAAUGACAUCUCAGUAGCACUGGUCUAGCUGAGAAUCAAGAAUAUCCUCAACUUGCAAAUGUGAACUUCAUAUCACUUAUCAUACUUAUAAGGGAUAACCCAAAAAUUUAUGCACUGAAAGAGUAUUUGACAUUUUUGAUUAGAUGUUGUUGCUUGCCAGUGCCUCUGGGACUGAAAACCUACUGUCUAAUUCAGCAGAACAAUAUAACAACAGAGUUUCUCUGGAGCUGGAUUAUGCAGCUUCCAGUAAGGAGAGUAGAUUAGUGUGAAGUAGGUUGGAAUGCUAGAUGGUGAGUGUUUUACCCAGGUAAGAUGUGAUGUUAAACUUUAUCAGAAUAGUUUUAAUGGGAAUAUGAAGGAUAUUUAGGAAGGAAAAAUUAGUAGCACUUGGUGGUAUCUGAUUUAAUUAGGGUGGGUUGGCUUGCAAGAUAGGAAAGAAGCUGGAUAGAAAGUACUCUGGGUUUUUGUCCAGGGUAGGAAGUGUAUGAAGUAGAACGUUAAGGGGAAAGAGAAAGUGAAAAUAAACAUGAAUCAGAAAGUGGUGACAUAUAGUAAGAAACUAAAAAUACAAGCCUUGAAGACAGGACAGAGUCUUGCUCUAUUAAGAAAAAACUAGACUGUGGAUAGACUCAGAUAGGAUGUAAUAAUCAUAGUCAUAAAACUGUUGGUAAUAUAACAUUACUUGUGCAGGAAUAUGGAUCAAGAAAUGCAUAUUGGUCUUUAAAUGAGUUUUUUUUUUUUUUUUUUUUACAAAAAUUAGAUGAUGUAUCUUGUGGAAAAAGGUAGUCAAACUAAAUACCAAUAGAUAUAUUAACAAUGGGUAAGAAAUACAAGAUAUAAUAUCAGUUAUAUGUGGAAUAAAAAUAUGACACAAAUGAACUUAUUUAUGAAACAGAAACAGACUCAGUUAUAGCAAACAGACUUGUGAUUGCCAAAAGGGAGGGAAACACGGGAGGGAUGGAUUGGGAGUUUGGGAUUAGCAGAUACAAACUAUUUUAUAUAGGAUUGAUAAACAAGGACUUACUGUAUAGCACAGGGAAUUAUAUUCAAUGUCUUGUGAUAAGCCAUAAUGGAAAAGAAUAAAAAAAAGUAUACAUAUGCAUAACUGAAUCACUUUGCUCAACAGCAGAAACUAACACAACAUUGUAAAUCAACUAUACUUCAAUAAAAAAUAAAAAUAAAACAUUAAAUGUAAGGAUAAAUAUUUAAUUCAUAAUAAAAAUAUAGAGAAUUGAGUGAUCCACCUAAACACACAGAGAAGGAGAAAAUCUUGUAGUGAAUAACAUACGAAUACAUAUUUAUGAUUUUAAAGACCUUUGGAAUAAUUUAUUAGUAGGGAACUUGCUCCAUUCUGAUGAACAAAAGCAGGAGGCAUAAGACUGUAAAAUAAAAUGAAGUAGCUGUCAUUGUGGCACAUAUUUUGUUUAUUCAGAUGAGGCUUUGAGACCCAACUUCUCAAACUGUGGUACUGAAGAAAUCAUUUGUUUCACAUUAUUUCAUGGGCACAUGCAUUGAGAAUGUUUUAUUUGGACUGGAACUUGUCACCAGGGCUGUAACUUUCCUUCCUUCUAUUCUUUUAGAAAAUUGAGCAUAUUUGUAUUAAUUUCUAAUAUUAAACCAAUAAUAUUAAAUAUAGCAACAACAUAGGUUAUUUUUAUAUUGUACUUUAUAUUUUCCAAGGUAAUUUCUAGAAUGAGAUCACCUGCCUUUAUUCUUUAGAGUUGUGAAUUGGCAAUUCUGUAACUAUAGAACACUUUCAUUAAUGUUAUGAUUUUAAACUCUGAGAAAACCUAUUUUAAGUGAAUCACCUGAUUUUAAUGAGGCCUAUCGUAACCCAAUUUUCUACAUGGGUUAAUAAAGCCAUAGUGAGUCCUAGAACUCAGCAAGGGUCUGAGGGAGCUCAUCUGAUCUCAUUUCAUUUAAUCUCUAGUAUUCACAGCUUUGCCUGUCCUUAAGGAUACAAUUAACUGAGAUAGUGUCUCAUAUAUUUAUAAACAGAGAUGAAUUUUCAAUGGUAUUUUAUAAAGCUUACUCAUGGUAUAACAUUUAAAGUGUCAGAUGUAUAUUCAUGAAUAUGUUUUAAUGCUUAAAAGAUCCAAAAUACAGGUCUGAUUUUGAACUUUGGUCCCCCAAAUAAAAUCUAGUUAUUUCUGUAUGAUAUUAAAACUCUCAAAAUUUAAUUUUUGCAUUCUAUGAUAAGGCAGCCAAAAGCUUUUCAUUACUUUUUAAAGCAUGGAAAAAUGGCAUCUCAAUUUGAUUUUAUAUCAUAUUUAACAAAAAGAUCCAGAUGAAGUACUUUUUUAAUGUAAGUGGAUAUUAUCAGAGAGAAGUAUGCAGAAAUAACUGGAAAUUCCUAUUUAUGUGAAUUUGUAUUCCAUGAUUGAGCUCUUUUUGUUUGUUUUAUUGUAAAGACUUAAAAUGCACCCAUAUCGAUGAUCUCUAUAUAUGCUUCUCAAACAAAUCCAACCCAUAAUUUUCACAUCAAUUUCCCAAAUAGGAACAGAUAAGAAACAAUCAAAUAAGCACAAAUCCUAGGGUUUUAUAUUUUAUAGGAGAGUACCAUGAGAUUUCAAAGUUUGGACUGCCAGUGGAAUAGGCAUAGAUCAUAGAUAAGAAUCUCAAAGUUCAAAGGAACCCAUUUCUUUUUGAACACACUCUUUCCAAAAAAUUAUCCUCACCCAAUCCAUUGCCUGCCAUUUAAGAGAAUUACCUACAAGUCUGUGGCUCCCUCUUCUCACCAUUCUUCCCCAGGAAGUGCAUUCUGGCCCAAGAAACAGGAGAAAUUAAUAGGUUCGAUUACUCUGGGCUAAAGAGGACAGAGUCUAUUAGGGGACAAUUGCACUCACUUAUUUCCAAAGGAAAGCUGCCCAUUGCUGCUGAGAGUAACAGCUCACAAAGCUUUUCAUUUGUUGGUUGGAGUUAAAAGGGUGGAAAAUAGGUCAGUAAAAGGUAAGAAAUGAGAAAUGAAGAGUCUAUUGGUGGGAGGAAAUUUGAGGAAUGUCAGCUUAGUAACUGCACAGCCAAAGAAAGGAAAUAGACCAGAGGGAGGAAGAAAGUAAGAAAUUGCCAAAAAGCUCAUUGUAUAAAUUAUGCUUACCCUAUGCCCCAAGCACUUUUCAGUUUCAAUUCCUGUUGCUGAACCAGAAGGUAUGUAUCGAUUUCAAGCCAUGCAAAAAUAUUUAAUCUUUGCAAUGAUUAAUGAGAUUGAAUAUGACCAAGCUUCUCACCACAGUUUUGAGCAGCCAAGCUUUGCUUAGAAAAAUCAAGCUUCCUUUUUUUUGCCUUUUUUGAGUACAGCACUUUGCAUAACAUCAUUCAAAAUUGGAAGGCACACUCUAUAUUUAUAGAGGAUUCAAAAUACAUUUAAAAAUGUAACAACUUGAGUGUUUGGAAUAAUCAGCUGACUGAUCCUGAUCAUACACAGUUCAUCCAAAUAUUCACUCUCUUCAUCUGGGUGUCACAUUUAUGGUGAAGAGAGAAGAUUUAUAGGGAUGAAUAAAGUUGCAUAGUUUUUGCUUUGCCCAAAAAUACUCUUAUAUUGUCAGUAGUGAUUGUGUUUAAGCUGACAGUGGACUAUUCCUAUUAUUGCAAAAAUUACUAUUUACAAGCUCUGAAAGCAAGCAUUUCUACCAAGAAUAUAUAGAAAACCAUGUUUAUAAAAAUCACAAACACAUAUUUAUCUAUAGAUUAUACAUUUUUAAAACCAAGAUCCAGCAAAAUUUUUCUCCAAGAAAAAUUUACUUUGUUAUAGAAAAGAUAGAUUUUUGAAUAUAUAAAUACAAAUAUGUAAAAUAUAUUGAUUCUGUAUUAUACACUAGUAUCCAAAUUCUGUGUGAGGUACUGAGGAUAUAAAGUAUGUGUCUUCAACAUAAGAUUAAUUAUUGUCUUACCUUUUGAUAGUGAUGUUUUAAAUGUUGUAAUGAAGUUCUCUAAUCAAAUGGGUGACUCAGAAUGAAAAAUCAUUAAAUUAUUCUUUUAGUUUAUGUAACUAGGUGCACAUGAGCUACAUGCUUAUUUAACUCUUUGUCAUAUAUAGAAAAUGUCCCUUGUGAAAUGUAUAUGUUGAUAGGGAAAAUAUUUUUCCCAUAUGUUCAAAACAUAUUUAAGUAUAAAUAACUUGGAGACUGUUAUUUUGGUGCUUUUUGUUCACUACUUUGCAACUAGAAGGCUUUGAUAAACAUCAAAGUGCUGCUGCUAAAAAGUAGAAACAUUUAGAUCCCAAGGUAGAUAGUAUUUUAGUUUCACAAACUUACUUCAGGAUUGAAAUGCAUAAAAGUCAUUGAAAACUGAAACUGUAAGACAAAUCCUAAAAGUGUAAAAUAGUUUUUUUUUUUUUUUAAAAAAAACCACACUAAGUAUACUAUAUUAUUUUAACAAAGAGAAAUUCUGGACUAGCAGUCUGUCUUUGGCUUUAAAGAUAUAUAUGUCUUUACAUAUAUAUAGUAUUUUGUUCAAAGCAUGAAAUUCAAGUUUAGUGGUCACUCAACAGUUGAAACAGAUAUUG